CCUACGGGUGGCAGUAGUGAGGAAUAUUGGUCAAUGGUCGGGAGACUGAACCAGCCAAGCCGCGUGAGGGAGGAAGGUACAGAGUAUCGUAAACCUCUUUUGUCAGGGAACAAAGCCUGGGACGCGUCCCCGGAUGAGUGUACCUGAAGAAAAAGCAUCGGCUGACUCCGUGCCAGCAGCCGCGGUAAUACGGGGGAUGCGAGCGUUAUCCGGAUUUAUUGGGUUUAAAGGGUGCGUAGGGGGAAGGUUAAGUCAGUGGUAAAAUGUCGGUGCGCAACACGGGCCUGCCGUUGAAACUGGUCUUCUUGAGUGAGCUAGAAGUAUGCGGAAUGCGUGGUGUAGCGGUGAAAUGCAUAGAUAUCACGCAGAACUCCGAUUGCGAAGGCAGCAUACCGGCGCUCAACUGACGCUGAGGCACGAAAGCGUGGGGAUCGAACAGGAUUAGAUACCCGGGUAGUC
rnacentral:rRNA from 1 species